GACAUAGGUCGCAAACGUUAUCCGGAAUUACUGGGCGUAAAGCGCACGUAGGCGGCUUUCUAAGUCGGGGGUGAAAUCCUGGAGCUCAACUCCAGAACUGCCUUCGAUACUGGAAAGCUCGAGUCCGGGAGAGGUGAGUGGAACUGCGAGUGUAGAGGUGAAAUUCGUAGAUAUUCGCAAGAACACCAGUGGCGAAGGCGGCUCACUGGCCCGGUACUGACGCUGAGGCACGAAAGCGUGGGGAGCAAACAGG
rnacentral:rRNA from 1 species